rnacentral:lncRNA from 1 species
CAGCUCUUAGAUGGAAUGUUUGUGAGGUUAAAGGAUGAGAUGCUCACUUAGGGAAGAUAUUAAAGGAGAAGAUUUUGAGGAUUUCAAGCUGUGAGACUUUAAUAUAGUUUUGAACUUCAUGAGAAAAGCAAAGGGCAAGAAGUGAGGUGGAAAACAUGAACUUCGAUUCAGCUUUGAAGCUUCUCAUUGGUACCCUAGUAUUCUGUACAUAUAUAGGUUUAAAGCUACUUAGGAUAAAGAUCCUGCCCCCUGCCCAUCUGAGGUAUGGCCUUAGCAGUUAGCCAGAGACUUAUGUUUCAGAUAGUCUUCAGAAGACAAAUAGGGCUUCUGGGCAUUUCCACAGCACCUCCUAUGGGAGUAUAAUUAUGAAGUA